rnacentral:tRNA from 1 species
GGUUAUUUAGUUUAUAUAAAACAAAUGUUUUGAAAGCAUUAAAAAAGAGAGUAACUCUUAAUGAUCG